rnacentral:rRNA from 1 species
GACAGAGGGUGCGAACGUUGUUCGGAAUUACUGGGCGUAAAGCGCGUGCAGGCGGUCUCGCAAGUCGGGUGUGAAAGCCCUGGGCUCAACCCAGGAAGUGCAUUCGAUACUGCGAGACUCGAGUCCCGGAGAGGAUGGCGGAACUCUCGGUGUAGAGGUGAAAUUCGUAGAUAUCGAGAAGAACAUCGGUGGCGAAGGCGGCCAUCUGGACGGUGACUGACGCUAAAGCGCGAAAGCGUGGGGAGCAAACAGG